AGGACGAACGCUGGCGGCGUGCUUAACACAUGCAAGUCGAGCGAGGCCCUGUCUUCGGACAGGUGCCCUAGCGGCGAACGGGUGAGUAACACGUGGGCAACCUGCCCCUAGCACUGGGAUAACUCCGGGAAACCGGGGCUAAUACCAGAUAUGACCUCCGAGGGCAUCCUCGUUGGUGUAAAGGAUUCUGGCUAGGGGAUGGGGCCCGCGGCCUAUCAGCUUGUUGGUGGGGUAACGGCCUACCAAGGCGACGACGGGUAGCCGGCCUGAGAGGGCGACCGGCCACACUGGGACUGAGACACGGCCCAGACUCCUACGGGAGGCAGCAGUGGGGAAUAUUGCACAAUGGGCGAAAGCCUGAUGCAGCGACGCCGCGUGAGGGAUGACGGCCUUCGGGUUGUAAACCUCUUUCAGCUCCGACGAAGCGAAAGUGACGGUAGGAGCAGAAGAGCACCGGCCAACUACGCGCCAGCAGCCGCGGUAA
rnacentral:rRNA from 1 species